GUUGUGAUUCUGCUUUAGUUGGGUCUGGGGGGGUCUCUCUGGAGAGUGGCUAUAAAUGCUAGCCUUUGUGCUGGGCAGCAAAGCAAAUCAUCGGGAAUAACCCGGGAGCCUGGCAGGGAAACCGCUGCACUAUGGAGAGGACGCUUCCAGAUACAGAGGACAAAUCAAGUGAAGGGACGGAACAGGUCACACCCAGAGCGGCACAGAGGUGUGUGAGCUGUUCCCACGGUAGUCAGAGCCUCUGUUCCAACUGUCCUCCCGCUGGGCUCUCUCCGGUCCCCAGUGCAUGGGCUGGAGUGUGGCCCCUGGCAGAGCCCUGGAGGCCGGCUCUGCUUCCUGCCCCCUUCCAGCCUGGAGCAGCCCGAGGGCGCAGCAUUCCUGGGGCAGGCCUGAGCCCUGUGGUGGGCUGAGUUGAGUCCCCAGAAAGGAUCUAUGAAAGAUAAAAUGUGGUGUGAGGACACGGCCCAGCCCCACCGUCGUCUUCCAGCCCCACCAUCGUCUUCCAGCCCCACCGUCGUCUUCCAGUCCCACCGUCGUCUUCUAGCCCCACCAUCGUCGUCUUGGACUCUCUGGGUGGCACCACGCUGUGGGUGCUGCUCUCCUCUGUGUCCCAAACGAGUUUGUGCCUCACUUUGUCGGGUUUUGGCUGUGACUUGGAGCCUCACCAAGCUCCCUUUUCCUCUGUCUCCCAUUCUCCUCUCCAGGCCAGGGUGGCUUCCCCAGCCCUCCUCCCCGGGUCCUGCCUGUGCCGAGCCUUCCUCCCAGGAGGGAGGUGAUACUGACUUGAGAUCUUAUGGGUGUUUUGUUUGUGGCUGGGCCUGGCCGACCCUCUCUCCACGGCCUUAGAUCACACUCUGGAUGGAUAGGACAGUCGUCCUCAAUACUGAGCCUCUUUGGAGCAUACCCACUGAUGGUGGUUCACAAGCUACCCACGCCCACAGGCUGACCCAGAUCUCCGUGAAAUUAAAAAAUACUGUGAAAGGAAAAAGAGCCAAUGUCAUGUGGAUAAUGAAGUGUCAGCCACUGAAAAAUCUCAAAAUAAUAAACAUGGCUUGUUUGUCAGGGUUCUCUAG
rnacentral:lncRNA from 1 species